GCAAGUCGAGCGCAUCUUCGGGUGAGCGGCGGACGGGUUAGUAACGCGUGGGAACAUACCCUUUUCUACGGAAUAGCCUCGGGAAACUGAGAGUAAUACCGUAUACGCCCUUCGGGGGAAAGAUUUAUCGGUGAAGGAUUGGCCCGCGUUAGAUUAGAUAGUUGGUGGGGUAAUGGCCUACCAAGUCGACGAUCUAUAGCUGGUUUGAGAGGAUGAUC
rnacentral:rRNA from 1 species